UGGUGGUGUUAGGCUAUGUA
rnacentral:siRNA from 1 species